GGGAAUCUUGCACAAUGGGCGAAAGCCUGAUGCAGCCAUGCCGCGUGUGUGAUGAAGGCCUUAGGGUUGUAAAACACUUUCAGAGGGGAAGAUAAUGACGGUACCCUCAGAAGAAGCUCCGGCUAACUCCGUGCCAGCAGCCGCGGUAAUACGGAGGGAGCUAGCGUUGUUCGGAAUUACUGGGCGUAAAGCGCGCGUAGGCGGAUUGAUUAGUCAGAGGUGAAAUCCCAGGGCUCAACCCUGGAACUGCCUUUGAUACUGUCAGUCUAGAGACCGAGAGAGGUGAGUGGAAUUUCCAGUGUAGAGGUGAAAUUCGUAGAUAUUGGAAAGAACACCAGUGGCGAAGGCGGCUCACUGGCUCGGUACUGACGCUGAGGUGCGAAAGCGUGGGGAGCAAACMGGAUUAGAUACCCUGGUAGUCCACGCCGUAAACGAUGAGAGCUAGUUGUCAGGCAGUAUACUGUUUGGUGACGCAGCUAACGCAUUAAGCUCUCCGCCUGGGGAGUACGGUCGCAARAUUA
rnacentral:rRNA from 1 species